UACGUAGGUGGCAAGCGUUAUCCGGAUUUAUUGGGUGUAAAGGGCGUGUAGGCGGGAGCGCAAGUCAGAUGUGAAAAUUCAGGGCUCAACCCUGAGCCUGCAUUUGAAACUGUGUUUCUUGAGUGCUGGAGAGGCAAUCGGAAUUCCGUGUGUAGCGGUGAAAUGCGUAGAUAUACGGAGGAACACCAGUGGCGAAGGCGGAUUGCUGGACAGUAACUGACGCUGAGGCGCGAAAGCGUGGGGAGCAAACAGG
rnacentral:rRNA from 1 species